rnacentral:rRNA from 1 species
AGUGAACGCUGGCGGUAUGCCUAACACAUGCAAGUCGAACGGCAGCACCGUAAGAGCUUGCUCUUACGGGUGGCGAGUGGCGGACGGGUGAGGAAUACAUCGGAAUCUACUUUUUCGUGGGGGAUAACGUAGGGAAACUUACGCUAAUACCGCAUACGACCUACGUGUGAAAGCAGGGGAUCUUCGGACCUUUCGCGAUUGAAUGAGCCGAUGUCGGAUUAGCUAGUUGGCGGGGUAAAGGCCCAACAAGGCGACGAUCCGUAGCUGGUCUGAGAGGAUGAUUAGACACACUGGAACUGAGACACGGUCCAGACUCCUACGGGAGGCAGCAGUGGGGAAUAUUGGACAAUGGGCGAAAGCCUGAUCCAGCCAUACCGCGUGGGUGAAGAAGGCCUUCGGGUUGUAAAGCCCUUUUGUUGGGAAAGAAAAGCAGCAGGUUAAUACCCCGCUGUUCUGACGGUACCCAAAGAAUAAGCACCGGCUAACUUCGUG